rnacentral:rRNA from 1 species
UACGUAGGGUGCGAGCGUUAAUCGGAAUUACUGGGCGUAAAGCGUGCGCAGGCGGUUCGCUGUGUCCGAUGUGAAAGCCCCGGGCUUAACCUGGGAAUGGCAUUGGAAACUGGCGGGCUUGAGUGCGGCAGAGGGGGGUGGAAUUCCGCGUGUAGCAGUGAAAUGCGUAGAGAUACGGAGGAACACCGAUGGCGAAGGCAGCCCCCUGGGUCGACACUGACGCUCAGGCACGAAAGCGUGGGGAGCAAACAGG